GGCUAGAGGACAAACAAAAUGCUGCACAGGCCCAAAUAAAGACAACUAUAGACACAUAGCAGAGGUUUCCUGCUUCAAGUAGCUAUUAUAUUAACCUACACUUUAGGCAAAGAGCAUUUUAGGUUUCACACUGAUGAAAACAUAGGAUGAGCAGAAGCAUCAGUAAAAGUUGCAUCUUUAAUGAAAGAGAUGAAACAGGCCAGCAAAGCUGUGAUCUUCUCCUUUCAAAACCUUGUCACUGCCGUUCAGCAGAAAUUCCACAGGUGUAAAACACCCUGUGGGAACAAAAUGCAUGUAGUGGAACUGCAGUGCCAUUUUUGGGAAGACUAUACAUAUGUUGAAUGCAUUUCCCAGCAUCUGAUCUGCAAGGGAGAAUGGUGAAAUCAGAAAAAGAGAGAAGCAAACCCACCACAAAUGCACAGAGUGUUUUUACAGAAAUACUGGUGUGACCAAGGUGACUCCAUCCCUUCUCUCUGAUGGCAAUCACAUCACAGGUAACACGAUGUUUUACUGCUUUUGGCAGCGUUGCAGAGAUAACCUCUCCAUGACGAACAGAUUUUCAGCAAUAAUUCCUGUGUGCUGGCCUGAACCUGAAUUUUCUUUCAUGUUAGAACAUAAAUAUCUGAGCAUUCCUCG
rnacentral:lncRNA from 1 species